GGUAGUCGAGGGAGUGGGGGGGGGGUAGUGGGGAGGGGGGAAGUGUUAUUCGGAUUUUUGUGGUUUAAAGGGUGGCUGGGCGUGCCCGUAAGGAGGUGGUGAAAUCUCGCAGGUUAACGGUGAAACUGCCAUUGAUACUGCGGGUCUGGAGUAAAUGUGAAGUGGCUGGAAUAAGUAGUGUAGCGGUGAAAUGCAUAGAUAUUACUUAGAACACCAAUUGCGAAGGCAGGUCACUAAGAUUUAACUGACGGUGAUGGACGAAAGCGUGGGGAGCGAACAGGAUUAGAUACCCUAGUAGUC
rnacentral:rRNA from 1 species